UAAGGAAUAUUGGACAAUGGAGGCAACUCUGAUCCAGCCAUGCCGCGUGAAGGAAUAAGGCCCUAUGGGUUGUAAACUUCUUUUAGACGGGACAAAACCCCUUUACGUGUAAAGGGUUGAUGGUACUGUCAGAAUAAGCAUCGGCUAACUUCGUGCCAGCAGCCGCGGUAAUACGAAGGAUGCAAGCGUUAUCCGGACUUAUUGGGUUUAAAGGGUGCGUAGGCGGACUAAUAAGUCAGUGGUGAAAGCCUGCAGCUUAACUGCAGAAUUGCCAUUGAUACUGUUAGUCUUGAGUACAGUUGAGGUAGGCGGAAUGUGUCAUGUAGCGGUGAAAUGCUUAGAUAUGACACAGAACACCGAUUGCGAAGGCAGCUUGCUAAGCUGUAACUGACGCUGAGGCACGAAAGCGUGGGUAGCAAACA
rnacentral:rRNA from 1 species